rnacentral:rRNA from 1 species
UACGUAGGGGGCGAGCGUUGUCCGGAGUUACUGGGCGUAAAGGGCGUGCAGGCGGUGCGAUACGUUUGCAGUGACAGUGCCCGGCUUAACUGGGCAAGGCCUGGCAAAAACGGUCGGACUUGAGGGCCAGAGAGGGACAUAGAAUUCCGGGUGGAGUGGUGAAAUGCGUAGAUAUCCGGAGGAAUACCAAAGGCGAAGGCAGUGUCCUGGCUGGUGACUGACGCUGAGGCGCGAAAGCUAGGGGAGCGAACAGG